GGUUAAGCGACUAAGCGUACACGGUGGAUGCCCUGGCAGUCAGAGGCGAUGAAGGACGUGCUAAUCUGCGAUAAGCGUCGGUAAGGUGAUAUGAACCGUUAUAACCGGCGAUUUCCGAAUGGGGAAACCCAGUGUGAUUCGUCACACUAUCAUUACGUGAAUCCAUAGCGUAAUGAAGCGAACCGGGGGAACUGAAACAUCUAAGUACCCCGAGGAAAAGAAAUCAACCGAGAUUCCCCCAGUAGCGGCGAGCGAACGGGGAGCAGCCCAGAGUCUGAAUCAGCUUGUGUGUUAGUGGAACGGUCUGGAAAGUCCGACGGUACAGGGUGAUAGUCCCGUACACCAAAAUGCACAGGUUGUGAACUCGAAGAGUAGGGCGGGACACGUGGUAUCCUGUCUGAAUAUGGGGGGACCAUCCUCCAAGGCUAAAUACUCCUGACUGACCGAUAGUGAACCAGUACCGUGAGGGAAAGGCGAAAAGAACCCCGGCGAGGGGAGUGAAAAAGAACCUGAAACCGUGUACGUACAAGCAGUGGGAGCCU
rnacentral:rRNA from 3 species